CGGGGAAUAUUGCACAAUGGGCGCAAGCCUGAUGCAGCCAUGCCGCGUGUGUGAAGAAGGCCUUCGGUUGUAAAGCACUUUCAGCGAGGAGGAAGGUGGUGAGCUUAAUACGCUCAUCAAUUGACGUUACUCGCAGAAGAAGCACCGGCUAACUCCGUGCCAGCAGCCGCGGUAAUACGGAGGGUGCAAGCGUUAAUCGGAAUUACUGGGCGUAAAGCGCACGCAGGCGGUUUGUUAAGUCAGAUGUGAAAUCCCCGGGCUCAACCUGGGAACUGCAUUUGAAACUGGCAAGCUAGAGUCUCGUAGAGGGGGGCUAGAAUUCCAGGUGUAGCGGUGAAAUGCGUAGAGAUCUGGAGGAAUACCGGUGGCGAAGGCGGCCCCCUGGACGAAGACUGACGCUCAGGUGCGAAAGCGUGGGGAGCAAACAGGAUUAGAUACCCCUGGUAGUCCACGCUGUAAACGAUGUCGAUUUUGGAGGUUGUGCCCUUGAGGCGUGGCUUCCGGAGCUAACGCGUUAAAGUCGACCGCCUGGGGGAGUACGGCCGCAAGGUUAAAACUUAAAGGAAUUGACGGGGUCAUAGCUG
rnacentral:rRNA from 1 species